rnacentral:rRNA from 1 species
UACGUAGGGGGCAAGCGUUGUCCGGAUUUAUUGGGCGUAAAGAGCGUGUAGGCGGCCAUACAGGUCAGCUGUGAAAACUCGAGGCUCAACCUCGAGACGUCGGUUGAAACCGUAUGGCUUGAGUUCGGGAGAGGGAUGCGGAAUUCCAGGUGUAGCGGUGAAAUGCGUAGAUAUCUGGAGGAACACCGGUGGCGAAGGCGGCAUCCUGGACCGAUACUGACGCUGAGGAGCGAAAGCCAGGGGAGCAAACGGG